GAUGAAGAACGUAGCGAAAUGCGAUACUUGGUGUGAAUUGCAGAAUCCCGUGAACCAUCGAGUCUUUGAACGCAAGUUGCGCCCGAAGCCACUAGGCCGAGGGCACGCCUGCCUGGGCGUCACACGCCGUUGCCCCCCCAUCUACUCCUUCGGGAUUGCGGGGGGGCGGAUGAUGGCCUCCUGUGCGCCUAGCCGCGCGGUUGGCAUAAAUACCAAGUCCUCGGCGACGCACGCCACGACAAUCGGUGGUUGCGAAACCUCGGUUGCCCGUCGUGUGCGUUCGUCGCGCAUCGAGGGCUCGAAAAAAUGCUCGGCUCCGGCUGGGCUUUCAACGCGACCCCAGGUCAGGCGGGGUUAACCGCUGAAUUUAAGCAUAUCAAUAAGCGGAGGA
rnacentral:misc_RNA from 1 species